rnacentral:rRNA from 1 species
CGCUGGCGGCUGGCUUAACACAUGCAAGUCGAACGAGAAGGUGAAAGCUUGCUUUUACUAGGACACUGGCCGACUGGUGACUAACGCGUAGAUAACCUGACCUAUAGCUGGAGGGAUAACACUGACCAAAGUGUGUGCUAACUACCGCCAUAAUGCAGCGGGGCCGACAUGCCACUAGUGUUAGAGGUAUUCGGCCGGCUUAUAUAUGGGUCUGCCGUGCUAUUAGCUAGUUGGUAAGGCUACGGCGUUACCAAGGACGAUGCAUAGCUAGGGGGUCUGAGCAAGAAUGACCCCCACACUGAGACUGAGACACGGCCCGAACACUCCUACGGGAGGCAGCAGUGAGGAAUCUUGCGCAAUGAGCGAAAGCCUGACGCCGCCACGCCGCGUUGACCGGAUGACGGUCCUAAGGGUUGUAAACGGAUAUUAACUAAGGAAGAACGAGAGGGUUUUGAUCUUCUGUGACAGGGGCCUAGAUGAAUAAGCAGCCAGGCUAACUCCGGGCCAAGGCGAGCCGCGGGUAAGUAACGGAAGGGUGCAAAGCGUUGUCCCGGAAUCAUUCGGGCGUACACGGGUGCGUAGAGCAGUAGCCUUACGUCUGGGAGAUGAAAUCUAGCCGCGUUAACGGUAAAAUGGCCUUGAAUACUGGGUUUCUUGAGUGCACAACAGGCAGGUGGAAUCACUGAUGUAGCGGAUAAAUGC